AUGAUGUCAAAACAAAUUGGUUAUUUAAUGCAAAGUGCAAAAUGUGUUAAUUCAAAUAUUGGUAUUGAAGAAGUUGAUGCAAUAGAUUAUGCAUCAGAGAAAACAUUAAGAAUCAGACAAGAAAAAUUAGAAAUAAAAUUAAGAUUACAU
rnacentral:ribozyme from 1 species